rnacentral:lncRNA from 10 species
UUAUAUCUAAAAAGCCAUAGUCAUACCCAAGGUCGUCUAGAUUUUCUCCAAUGUUAUCUUCUAAGAGUUUUAUAGUUUUGUGUUUAGCAUUUAAGUCUAUUAUCCAUUUGAAGUUAAUUUUUGUGAUGUGGGAGACCUGUGUCUGGCUUCAGUUUUUGGUUUUUGGUUCUUGGUUUUUGCAUGUGGAUGUCCAGUCUUUCCAGCAUUAUUUAUUGAAAAGACCAUCUUUGAUUUGUUAGAUUAUCUUUGCUCCUGCUAAAAGAAAAACUUUGACAAAUUAAACUUAACAGAGUUAAUCAGGCAAAGGAUGAUUUGUGAACAAGAGAAAAAAAGAACACUUCAGGCUCUACAAAACUUUUACCGGCUUGCCUGAAGAAUGUUUACCAGCUUUUAUCAUUAUGAACAAGAUAAUCAUGAAAUGAAUGAAAAGCACUUCUCCACAGCCUGGACUUUAAAUGCCCUUAGGCUACUCCAUUGCAAGCAUGAAAUGAAACAGAAAAGCCCAAGGUGUUACAAGCAGAAUAUCGUUUCAUAGUGCUAUGCAGGAAACAUUCUGGCAUGUGUAGCUCUGCACAGUGGGCAGACUCUUCUUCAUUUAAACUCCCAUCAGAAAGUUGAACUACCAGCCUUCACCAAGCUUUGAGUAGAUGCAACUGAUUUUUGUAUAUUGAUCUUGUAUCCUGCAACCUUGCAAAAGUCAUCUGUUAGUGCUAACAGUUUUGUGUGUGGAUUCCUUUUUUUUUUUUUUUUUUUUUUUUUUUUUUAAGACAGAGUCUUGCUCUUGUCACCCAGGCUGGAGUGCAAUGGCAUGAUCUUCGCUUACUGCAACCUCAGCCUCCCAAGUAGCUGGGAUUACAGGCACCCACCACCACACCCAGCUAAUUUUUGUAUUUUUUUAGCAGAGACGGGUUUUCACCAUGUUGGCCAGGCUGGUCUUGAACUCCUGACCUCAUGAUCCACCCACCUUGGCCCCCCCAGUGUGUGUGGAUUCUUUCGGGUUCUCUGUAUAUACUAUCAUGUCCUCUGCAAAUAGAAAGUUUUCUUUCUUCCUUUCUAGUCUGGAUGCCUUUAUUUCUUUUUCUUACCCUGGCUAAAACCUUCAGUACAAUGUUGAUUAGAAAUGGCAAAAAGAGAUAUCCUUGUAUUGUUCCUAUUCUUAGAGGAAAAGCUUUUAUACUUUCACUGUUAUUAGCCAUAAAUUUUUUAUAUGUGACCUUCAUCAUACUGAGAAAGUUCCAUUCUAUUCCUAGUUUGUUGAGUGUCUUUUAUAAUGAAAAAUGUUAAAUUUCAUCAAAUAUGUUUUUCUGCACCUAUUGAGAUGAUCUUUUAUUCUAUUAAUAUGGUGCAUUACAUUGAUUGACUUUUGUACAUUGAACCAACCUUGCAUUCCUGGGAUAAAUCUCAUUUGGUCCUGUAUAAACCUUCUUAAUGUGUGUAAUACUUCUUAUAUGCUGCUGGAUUCAGUUUAGUGUAUUUUAUUAAAGACUUUUGC